AUUACACAUGAGGCACCCUGUCUAAAGUAUAUGGAGUUUAUGGAAUUGCCUAGGCUUUCUGGGACCACCAAAAUGAGGGAAAUAAAGCCCAUCAAACUUUUUUUGAAAGCCACUGGAGAGGAAUAACAUACAAAAAGCUACAAGAAGACGGAUGAGAAAGUAACAUGCUUCUGGCAGCGUGUUAUCAAUUGGGAGGCAACAGUGCAUUCCCUCUAUGUGGAACAGUGAGCUGGAACCGACACUGACAGAUGACACGGCUCCUUGACAGUGAUGCCUGUACGAACUGACAGCUCCACUUGCAGUCAUUCAAGUCCACACUUUGCAGUGGAAUUUUAACGGGCUUGAUUUGCAGAAUAUGCUUUGCCUACUUCUCAGCUUGGAGUAGAAGUGAAUAAAAAUUUCAAAGCGUUCACAUUAGAUAGUGGAUUCUGGGAUCUCUUUCCCAACUUUCCUUUCCCAUCACAACUAAGAGUAACAACAGUAAAUAAAGCAUCAUCUUGAAGAAAA